CGUCAGCUCGUGUCGUGAGAUGUUGGGUUAAGUCCCGUAACGAGCGCAACCCCUAUCCCUAGUUGCUAGCAGUUCGGCUGAGAACUCUAGGGAGACUGCCGGUGACAAACCGGAGGAAGGUGGGGAUGACGUCAGGUCAUCAUGGCCCUUACGGCCAGGGCUACACACGUGCUACAAUGGUGCGUACAGAGGGCUGCAAACCCGCGAGGGGGAGCUAAUCUCACAAAACGCAUCGUAGUCCGGAUCGGAGUCUGCAACUCGACUCCGUGAAGUCGGAAUCGCUAGUAAUCGCGAAUCAGAAUGUCGCGGUGAAUACGUUCCCGGGCCUUGUACACACCGCCCGUCACACCAUGGGAGUUGGCUUUACCCGAAGGCGG
rnacentral:rRNA from 15 species